rnacentral:rRNA from 1 species
AUUGAACGCUGGCGGCAGGCCUAACACAUGCAAGUCGAACGAGUGGCGGACGGGUGAGUAAUGUCUGGGAAACUGCCCGAUGGAGGGGGAUAACUAAUGGAAACGGUAGCUAAUACCGCAUACCAUCGGAUGUGCCCAGAUGGGAUUGGCUAGUAGGUUGGGUAACGGCGCACUUAGGCGACGAUCCCUAGCUGGUCUGAGAGGAUGACAAGCCACCCGGGAACUGAGAAACGGUCCAGACUCCUACGGGCGGAAGCAGUGGGGAAGAUUGCACAAUGGGCGCAAGCCUGAUGCAGCCAUGCCGCGUGUCUGAAGAAGGCCUUCGGGUUGUAAAGUACUUUCAGCGAGGAGGCGUUACUCGCAGAAGAAGCACCGGCUAACUCCGUGCCAGCAGCCGCGGUAAUUC